UGGGGAAUAUUGGACAAUGGGCGAAAGCCUGAUCCAGCCAUGCCGCGUGUGUGAAGAAGGUCUUCGGAUUGUAAAGCACUUUAAGUUGGGAGGAAGGGCAUUAACCUAAUACGUUAGUGUUUUGACGUUACCGACAGAAUAAGCACCGGCUAACUCUGUGCCAGCAGCCGCGGUAAUACAGAGGGUGCAAGCGUUAAUCGGAAUUACUGGGCGUAAAGCGCGCGUAGGUGGUUUGUUAAGUUGGAUGUGAAAUCCCCGGGCUCAACCUGGGAACUGCAUUCAAAACUGACUGACUAGAGUAUGGUAGAGGGUGGUGGAAUUUCCUGUGUAGCGGUGAAAUGCGUAGAUAUAGGAAGGAACACCAGUGGCGAAGGCGACCACCUGGACUAAUACAGACACUGAGGUGCGAAAGCGUGGGGAGCAAACA
rnacentral:rRNA from 1 species